rnacentral:rRNA from 1 species
AUUGAACGCUGGCGGCAGGCCUAACACAUGCAAGUCGAGAGAGCGACGGAGGGGUGAGUACUAGCUGGGACACAGCCUGCUGGAGGGGGGUAAAACCUGGAAAAGGUGGAUCAUACGGCAUAUCACAAGAUGUGGCCCGAUGGGAAUAGCUAGUAGGUGGGGUAACGGCGCCCCGAGGCGACGAGCCCUAGCUGGUCUGAGAGGAGGACCAGCCAGACUGGAACUGAGAAACGGUCCAGACUCCUACGGGAGGCAGCAGUGGGGAAUAUUGCACAAUGGGCGCAAGCCUGAUGCAGCCAGGCCGCGUGUGUGAAGAAGGCCUUCGGGUUGUAAAGCACUUUCAGCGGGGAGGCGUUACCCGCAGAAGAAGCACCGGCUAACUCCGUGCCAGCCGCCGCGGUAAUUC